rnacentral:tRNA from 1 species
GGUCCCGUAGCUCAGCAGGAUAGAGCAUCAAAUUCCUAAUUUGAGGGUCGGUGGUUCGAAUCCACCCGGGAUCA